rnacentral:rRNA from 1 species
UACAGAGGUCCCAAGCGUUGUUCGGAUUCACUGGGCGUAAAGGGUGCGUAGGUGGCCAGGUAAGUUUGGUGUGAAAGCUCGGAGCUUAACUCCGAAAAGUCAUUGAAUACUAUCUGGCUGGAGGGUCGGAGGGGAGACUGGAAUUCUCGGUGUAGCAGUGAAAUGCGUAGAUAUCGAGAGGAACACCAGUGGCGAAGGCGAGUCUCUGGACGACUCCUGACACUGAGGCACGAAAGCUAGGGGAGCGAACGGG